rnacentral:rRNA from 1 species
AGAGUUUGAUCCUGGCUCAGGAUGAACGCUGGCGGCGUGCCUAAUACAUGUAAGUCGAACGGAAGAUGUAGCAAUAUGUCUUUAGUGGCGAACGGGUGAGUAACGCGUUGGUGACCUGCCCCGAAGAGAGGGAUAACAGACCGAAAGGUUUGCUAAUACCGCGUAAUUUCCUUCUAGUUAGAGAGGAGGGAAGAAAGGCCGAAAGGCGCUUUGGGAGGGGCCUGCGUCCCAUCAGCUAGUUGGCGAGGUAAAAGCUCACCAAGGCGAUGACGGGUAGGGGACCUGAGAGGGUGACCCCCCACAAUGGAACUGAAACACGGUCCAUACACCUACGGGUGGCAGCAGUAGGGGAUAUUGGUUAAUGGGCGAAAGCCCGACCCAGCAACGCCGCGUGCACGAAGAAGGCCUUCGGGUUGUAAAGUGCUUUUUAGUGGGAUGAGGAAGGACAGUACCACUAGAAUAAGUCUCGGCUAACUACGUGCCAGCAGCCGCGGUAACACGUAGGAGACGAGCGUCAUCCGGAUUUACUGGGUGUAAAGCGCGUGCAGGCGGUCGGGUAAGUUGGAUGUGAAAGCUCCUGGCUUAACUGGGAGAGGUCGUUCAAAACUGCCGGGCUAGAGUGCAACAGAGGGGAGUGGAAUUCCGAGUGUAGCGGUAAAAUGCAUAGAUAUUCGGAAGAACACCAGUGGCGAAGGCGGCUCUCUGGGUUGCAACUGACGCUCAGACGCGAAAGCUAGGGUAGCGAACGGGAUUAGAGACCCCGGUAGUCCUAGCCGUAAACGAUGUGGACUUGGCGUGGGUGGGUUGAAAUCCAUCUGUGCCGAAGCAAACGCGAUAAGUCCACCACCUGGGGACUACGGCCGCAAGGUUAAAACUCAAAGGAAUUG